UACGAAGGGGGCAAAUGUUGUUCGGAAUUACUGGGCGUAAAGGGCGCGUAGGCGGCCUGCUAAGUCGAACGUGAAAUCCCCGAGCUCAACUCGGGAACUGCGUCCGAUACUGACAGGCUUGAAUCCGGGAGAGGGAUGCGGAAUUCCAGGUGUAGCGGUGAAAUGCGUAGAUAUCUGGAGGAACACCGGUGGCGAAGGCGGCAUCCUGGACCGGCAUUGACGCUGAGGCGCGAAAGCUAGGGGAGCAAACGGGG
rnacentral:rRNA from 1 species